UACGUAGGGGGCAAGCGUUGUCCGGAUUUAUUGGGCGUAAAGAGCGUGUAGGCGGUUCGGUAGGUCCGUUGUGAAAACUCGAGGCUCAACCUCGAGACGCCGAUGGAAACCCUCGAACUAGAGUCCGGAAGAGGAGAGUGGAAUUCCUGGUGUAGCGGUGAAAUGCGUAGAGAUCGGGAGGAACACCAGUGGCGAAGGCGGCUACCUGGACCAGCACGUGACACUGAGGCACGAAAGCGUGGGAGGCAAACAGG
rnacentral:rRNA from 1 species